GGGCCAAUGCAGUGUAGUGGUUUAAGCAUUGGAUUACAACUCUGGAGACCAGGGUUGAAAUCCCUGUUUGGUCA